rnacentral:rRNA from 1 species
UACAGAGGUCCCGAGCGUUGUUCGGAUUCAUUGGGCGUAAAGGGUGCGUAGGCGGUUUCCUAAGUUUGAUGUGAAAUCCCGGGGCUUAACCCUGGAAUUGCAUUGAAUACUGGGAGACUAGAGUACUGGAGAGGAAACUGGAAGUUUACGGUGUAGCAGUGAAAUGCGUAGAGAUCGUAAGGAAGACCAGUGGCGAAGGCGAGUUUCUGGACAGUUACUGACGCUGAGGCACGAAGGCCAGGGGAGCAAACGGG